rnacentral:lncRNA from 1 species
GUUCGUAAUGCUGUACCCGUUUACAGACCUGUGACAUUGGCAAAAUAUGAUCAUAAUAAUGAUGCAGUUUUGACGUCUAGGCCCUAUGCAAUUAUGUCUUCAGUAUUUUGCAUUUUACUACUAGUUACCACAGUCGUGGUUGAGGUGAUUUCGGAAGAUAAAUCAGAGCCUGGAAAAAGAGGAAGUACCAAGACAAGUAAAAAAGAAAAUGCCGAAGCCGACAAAGCCCUGGAGAUUUAUCAAAAAUUGUUUUUACAAAAACGAGCGCAGCAUGUCCAGGCAGUAGAAGAAAUGUUAGCAUCGUAUGACUACCAAAAAAA